GGUUACACCUUAAGGCAGAGCUUAUACCUCUGACUACGGUACGAUCAGCAACUGGGGUGAAGUCGUAACAAGGUAGCCGUAGGGGAACCUGCGGCUGGAUUACCUCCUUUCUAAGGAAGACCAAAAUAUUUCUUUUGGUCUCAAAAAAUAAAGUUAAUGUGGCCGUCCUCAUUUCUCUUCUUAUUAAUUAGAGUGUCUCAUAAAUGCUUAGGGGCCGGUAGCUCAGGUGGUUAGAGCGCACCCCUGAUAAGGGUGAGGUCGGACGUUCGAGUCGUCCUCGGCCCACCAUUUUCACGGGGGAUUAGCUCAGCUGGGAGAGCGCCUGAUUUGCAUUCAGGAGGUCAGCGGUUCGAUCCCGCUAUCCUCCACCAUCGACACUUUUAGUUUUUUUAAAUUGUAAAUAAUGAAUAUCAAUUUUGAUUGUUCAAAAGUUAAGAACAAUCAAACAAUAUCUAUAUCCGAUUGUUCGAAUAGAUGAACAAUCUAAAAAUAUUCGAAUAGAUGAAUAUUUUAUUAAAAAUUUAAUUUAGACAGAAAAUUAUUUUCUGUGCAUAAAUCAAGCGUUUAAGGGCGUAUGGCGGAUGCCUAGGCACUGAAAGGCGAUGAAGGACGUGGUAUACUGCGAUAAGUUUCGGGGAGCUGUAUGCAGGCUUUGAUCCGAAAAUUU
rnacentral:misc_RNA from 1 species